rnacentral:rRNA from 1 species
GAUGAACGCUGGCGGCGUGCCUAAUACAUGCAAGUCGAGCGAACGGGCGAGACGCUUGUUUCUCCGAUGUUAGCGGCGGACGGGUGAGUCACACGUGGAUAACCUACCUAUAAGACUGGGAUAACUUCGGGAAUCCGUAGCUAACCGCGGCUAAUCUUUUGAACCGUAUGGGUCAAAAGUGAAAUUCGGUUUUGCUGUCACUUCUCGAUGGAUCCGCGCUGCAUUAUCUAGUUGGUAAGGUAACGGCUUACUAAGGCAACGAUGCCUAGCCGACCUGAGAGGGUGAUCGGCCACACUGGGACUGAGACACGGUCCAGACUCCUACGGGAGGCAGCAGUAGGGAAUCUUCCGCAAUGGGCGAAAGCCUGACGGAGCAACGCCGCGUGAGUGAUGAAGGUCUUCGGAUCGUAAAACUCUGUUAUUAGGGAAGAACAUAUGUGUAAGUAACUGUACACAUCUUGACGGUACCUAAUCAGAAAGCCACGGCUAACUACGUG